rnacentral:rRNA from 1 species
CCUACGGGUGGCAGCAGUGGGGAAUAUUGCACAAUGGGGGGAACCCUGAUGCAGCGACGCCGCGUGAGUGAAGAAGUAUUUCGGUAUGUAAAGCUCUAUCAGCAGGGAAGAAAAUGACGGUACCUGACUAAGAAGCCCCGGCUAACUACGUGCCAGCAGCCGCGGUAAUACGUAGGGGGCAAGCGUUAUCCGGAUUUACUGGGUGGAGAGGGAGCGCAGACGGCUGUGCAAGUCUGGAGUGAAAGGCGGCGGCCCAACCCCCGGACUGCUCUGGAAACUGUAAAGCUGGAGUGCAGGAGAGGUAAGCGGAAUUCCUAGUGUAGCGGUGAAAUGCGUAGAGAUUAGGAGGAACACCAGUGGCGAAGGCGGCUUACUGGACUGCAACUGACGUUGAGGCUCGAAAGCGUGGGGAGCAAACAGGAUUAGAUACCCUGGUAGUC